rnacentral:misc_RNA from 1 species
UGUCAACCAGGGCUUUGAGG